rnacentral:rRNA from 1 species
GCUUUCGGGCUGAGUAGAGCGGCGGACGGGUGAGUAACGCGUAGGAAUCUACCUGGUAGUGGGGGACAACUUGGGGAAACUCAAGCUAAUACCGCAUACGCCCUAAGGGGGAAAGCGGGGGACCUUCGGGCCUCGCGCUAUCGGAUGAGCCUGCGUAGGAUUAGCUAGUUGGUGGGGUAAAGGCCCACCAAGGCGACGAUCCUUAGCUGGUCUGAGAGGAUGAUCAGCCACACUGGAACUGAGACACGGUCCAGACUCCUACGGGAGGCAGCAGUGGGGAAUAUUGCGCAAUGGGCGAAAGCCUGACGCAGCCAUGCCGCGUGUGUGAAGAAGGCCUUAGGGUUGUAAAGCACUUUCAAUUGGGAAGAAAAGUUUGUCGUUAAUAGCGCC